UAACAUACCUGCAAGGUCGACUCCCAUA
rnacentral:sRNA from 1 species